rnacentral:rRNA from 2 species
AGUAAAAAGUAGAAUAAUAGAUUUGAAAUAUUUAUUAUAUAGAUUUAAAGAGAUAAUCAUGGAGUAUAAAAAUUAAAUUUAAUAAAUUUAAUAUAACUAUUAAUAGAAUUAGGUUACUAAUAAAUUAAUAACAAUUAAUUUUAAAACCUAAAGGUAAACCUUUAUAUUAAUAAUGUUUUUUUUUUAUUUUUAUAAUUAAGAAUAAUUAUUAAUAAUAAUAAACUAAGUGAACUGAAACAUCUAAGUAACUUAAGGAUAAUAAAUCAACAGAGAUAUUAUGAGUAUUGGUGAGAGAAAAUAAUAAAGGUCUAAUAAGUAUUAUGUGAAAAAAAUGUAAGAAAAUAGGAUAACAAAUUCUAAGACUAAAUACUAUUAAUAAGUAUAGUAAGUACCGUAAGGGAAAGUAUGAAAAUGAUUAUUUUAUAAGCAAUCAUGAAUAUAUUAUAUUAUAUUAAUGAUGUACCUUUUGUAUAAUGGGUCAGCAAGUAAUUAAUAUUAGUAAAACAAUAAGUUAUAAAUAAAUAGAAUAAUAUAUAUAUAUAAAAAAAUAUAUUAAAAUAUUUAAUUAAUAUUAAUUGACCCGAAAGCAAACGAUCUAACUAUGAUAAGAUGGAUAAACGAUCGAACAGGUUGAUGUUGCAAUAUCAUCUGAUUAAUUGUGGUUAGUAGUGAAAGACAAAUCUGGUUUGCAGAUAGCUGGUUUUCUAUGAAAUAUAUGUAAGUAUAGCCUUUAUAAAUAAUAAUUAUUAUAUAAUAUUAUAUAAAUAUUAUAUAAAGAAUGGUACAGCAAUUAAUAUAUAUUAGGGAACUAUUAAAGUUUUAUUAAUAAUAUUAAAUCUCGAAAUAUUUAAUUAUAUAUAAUAAAGAGUCAGAUUAUGUGCGAUAAGGUAAAUAAUCUAAAGGGAAACAGCCCAGAUUAAGAUAUAAAGUUCCUAAUAAAUAAUAAGUGAAAUAAAUAUUAAAAUAUUAUAAUAUAAUCAGUUAAUGGGUUUGACAAUAACCAUUUUUUAAUGAACAUGUAACAAUGCACUGAUUUAUAAUAAAUAAAAAAAAUAAUAUUUAAAAUCAAAUAUAUAUAUAUUUGUUAAUAGAUAAUAUACGGAUCUUAAUAAUAAGAAUUAUUUAAUUCCUAAUAUGGAAUAUUAUAUUUUUAUAAUAAUAAUAAAAAUAUAAAUACUGAAUAUCUAAAUAUUAUUAUUACUUUUUUUUUUAAUAAUAAUAAUAUGGUAAUAGAACAUUUAAUGAUAAUAUAUAUUAGUUAUUAAUUAAUAUAUGUAUUAAUUAAAUAGAGAAUGCUGACAUGAGUAACGAAAAAAAGGUAUAAACCUUUUCACCUAAAACAUAAGGUUUAACUAUAAAAGUACGGCCCCUAAUUAAAUUAUAUAAGAAUAUAAAUAUAUUUAAGAUGGGAUAAUCUAUAUUAAUAAAAAUUUAUCUUAAAAUAUAUAUAUUAUUAAUAAUUAUAUUAAUUAAUUAAUAAUAUAUAUAAUUAUAUUAUAUAUUAUAUUUUUAUAUAUAAUAUAUAUAAUAUAAACUAAUAAAGAUCAGGAAAUAAUUAAUGUAUACCGUAAUGUAGACCGACUCAGGUAUGUAAGUAGAGAAUAUGAAGGUGAAUUAGAUAAUUAAAGGGAAGGAACUCGGCAAAGAUAGCUCAUAAGUUAGUCAAUAAAGAGUAAUAAGAACAAAGUUGUACAACUGUUUACUAAAAACACCGCACUUUGCAGAAACGAUAAGUUUAAGUAUAAGGUGUGAACUCUGCUCCAUGCUUAAUAUAUAAAUAAAAUUAUUUAACGAUAAUUUUAUUAAAUUUAGGUAAAUAGCAGCCUUAUUAUGAGGGUUAUAAUGUAGCGAAAUUCCUUGGCCUAUAAUUGAGGUCCCGCAUGAAUGACGUAAUGAUACAACAACUGUCUCCCCUUUAAGCUAAGUGAAAUUGAAAUCGUAGUGAAGAUGCUAUGUACCUUCAGCAAGACGGAAAGACCCUAUGCAGCUUUACUGUAAUUAGAUAGAUCGAAUUAUUGUUUAUUAUAUUCAGCAUAUUAAGUAAUCCUAUUAUUAGGUAAUCGUUUAGAUAUUAAUGAGAUACUUAUUAUAAUAUAAUGAUAAUUCUAAUCUUAUAAAUAAUUAUUAUUAUUAUUAUUAUUAAUAAUAAUAAUAUGCUUUCAAGCAUAGUGAUAAAACAUAUUUAUAUGAUAAUCACUUUACUUAAUAGAUAUAAUUCUUAAGUAAUAUAUAAUAUAUAUUAUAUAUAUAUUAUAUAUAAUAUAAGAGACAAUCUCUAAUUGGUAGUUUUGAUGGGGCGUCAUUAUCAGCAAAAGUAUCUGAAUAAGUCCAUAAAUAAAUAUAUAAAAUUAUUGAAUAAAAAAAUAAUAUAUAUUAUAUAUAUUAAUUAUAAAUUGAAAUAUGUUUAUAUAAAUUUAUAUUUAUUGAAUAUAUUUUAGUAAUAGAUAAAAAUAUGUACAGUAAAAUUGUAAGGAAAACAAUAAUAACUUUCUCCUCUCUCGGUGGGGGUUCACACCUAUUUUUAAUAGGUGUGAACCCCUCUUCGGGGUUCCGGUUCCCUUUCGGGUCCCGGAACUUAAAUAAAAAUGGAAAGAAUUAAAUUAAUAUAAUGGUAUAACUGUGCGAUAAUUGUAACACAAACGAGUGAAACAAGUACGUAAGUAUGGCAUAAUGAACAAAUAACACUGAUUGUAAAGGUUAUUGAUAACGAAUAAAAGUUACGCUAGGGAUAACAGGGUAAUAUAACGAAAGAGUAGAUAUUGUAAGUUAUGUUUGCCACCUCGAUGUCGACUCAACAUUUCCUCUUGGUUGUAAAAGCUAAGAAGGGUUUGACUGUUCGUCAAUUAAAAUGUUACGUGAGUUGGGUUAAAUACGAUGUGAAUCAGUAUGGUUCCUAUCUGCUGAAGGAAAUAUUAUCAAAUUAAAUCUCAUUAUUAGUACGCAAGGACCAUAAUGAAUCAACCCAUGGUGUAUCUAUUGAUAAUAAUAUAAUAUAUUUUAUAAAAAUAAUACUUUAUUAAUAUAUUAUCUAUAUUAGUUUAUAUUUUAAUUAUAUAUUAUCAUAGUAGAUAAGCUAAGUUGAUAAUAAAUAAAUAUUGAAUACAUAUUAAAUAUGAAGUUGUUUUAAUAAGAUAAUUAAUCUGAUAAUUUUAUACUAAAAUUAAUAAUUAUAGGUUUUAUAUAUUAUUUAUAAAUAUAAUAUAAUAAUUAUUAUUAUUAAUAAAAAAAAUAUUAAUUAUAAUAUUAAUAAAAUACUAAUUUAUCAGUUAUCUAUAUAAUAUCUAAUCUAUUAUUCUAUAUACU